UACCAUUUUCUUUUAAAAUAUGCUUUCAUUUUGGACAUACAGUUUGUAGUUUGCUUGUUUCGUUCAACUUUUUCUCCCAAAGGCUCUGUUACGUUGGAGAAACACGUUAACUUUUAUUCAUAUCUGCAGACGUGCGCGUGGGUCACGUGGCUAAUAUGAUUCUCUUUUUUUCCGCAGAAAAUGCCAUAAAAUAAGAGUGAUUGUGGACUAAUUUAUUUUUGAAAACAUUUCUAGCAGUAUAUAUCCCCUUUAUUUUCGUAAUAUUGCAGACAUGAAGUUGUUUGUUCCUCAAAGGAUCUGAAAGCGUCUGAUCUUUUCCAUUCAUAUAUGCGGGCUGACGUGGGUCACGUGACGUGCCUUUCUCUUUUUUUCCUGUGGAAAAUCUCGUAAAAAGCCAGUGAACGCAGCGUCAUACGGGCACCCCCACCCCACUCCCCCGGAAACCCCCGGAUGAACCCGCAGGAAGGCGCGCGGCUGAAGAACUCUUGGACAGCUGGAAGGCCGCAGGAUCACGGUGAAGGCCUCUUCUGUAUAGAGGACGGGGGCGGAAACGUCACGUGGUCUCCGCAGAGACUGGUCAGUUAUUUGGAGACAACAUGUACAAAUAGUUCCUGGACUGAUCUUCUGCUAACUUUGAGAUGGAGAAGCUGUCAGGUUCAUCUGUUUCAGGGUCCUGCAUGCUCUCCCUCCAUGUUGGCUGUAGCAGUGGAUGGAACUUGCUAAAUGUACUGUUUUGAGAGCCAACUGGGGCUCAGUGGUUAUUUGGAAGAUGCGUUUUUGACCAAAAACACUGUGGUGACCUCCUUUGUGAACUGCAUUCAUGGGGAAAUAGAAUAUAAUCCUGGAGAUGGGAGAUGUGGAGCAGGUAAGUUUGUGGCAGCACCAGAGUCCUCCAACAAGUCUUCUGGCAAAGUAAAUGAGGAAGGAUCGCAGUCUGCCAUCGUGGAGUUUUGCUGAAAGGCCUGAACACGUUCCAUCCAUGCAUCCAUCUUCUUCCAUUCAUCAGGAACCAGGUUGUGAGGGCAGCAGUCUAAGCAAAGAUGCCCACACUUCGCUCUCCUCCAGCUCCUCUUGGGGGACCCCGGGGCCAGCUGAGAGACGUAGUCUCCCCAGCGUGUCCUGGGUCUCCCUUAGGGCCUCUGCCCUUAUUCCUGUUGGAGUUUUUUUCUAACCCCUUAUGUUUCAAAAGUUUGCAAACAUACAUUUUGGUUGAAAUGAUGAGGAUCCGAGGAUGAAAUCAAGAAGGGACAACAUCAGGGAAAGGGACUGAACCGACUGAACAGCUUCCUCUCUUCAGCAGACACAUGUUCCGAGUACAUAUGUGUCAAAAACUGACAUCCUCGCCGUUCAGGCCGGUGGCUGGAACAAGCGGAAGUCAGAAAAGCUGGAGCAGACGUGACCAGAAUGAUACCUCCAGGACCAAUCAAAAUGACCCAGAGAGAAACACUGAAGGGCUUUGUCUGAGCAUCAGGAAAACAAGAAUCAGCUGUCAUCAACAUAUGGUGGAUAAAGGUGGAAAGAUUUCAUGUAAUCCAUGGACACCAGUGAAGAUCACAAAUCAUUGAAGAAAAAAGGUUCAGAGCACUGUCUAGUGGGUCCAGAUGACCCAACUCCCAAUGGUUAUGGUGCCAUGGUAAAGAACUAAAGGCUCUAUGAUGUCAUGCUGCUGACCAGACUGUGGUUGGUGAAGUCCAGCAGCACUGCAGGUCCUUGAAGUGUGGUUGAAGAGCUCUCCUCCCAGCUUUUGGAAGGCAGCACAGAGUCAUUGAUGGAGAGAGGACAUGAGGGACUAAUUGUCUGCUGAGGAGGAGACUUUCUGCAGUUCAAGCCCCAGCUCCACCCCUAAAAAAAGGCUUAUAUAAAGGAAAACCUCAUUUCAUUUUUGUACCAAUAAAUGACUUUUAAUUGAAA